GACGUAGGGCGCGAGCGUUGUCCGGAUUUAUUGGGCGUAAAGAGCUCGUAGGCGGUGUGUCACGUCGGCCGUGAAAACCUGCAGCUUAACUGUGGGCGUGCGGUCGAUACGGGCAUCACUGGAGUUCGGCAGGGGAGACUGGAAUUCCUGGUGUAGCGGUGAAAUGCGCAGAUAUCAGGAGGAACACCGGUGGCGAAGGCGGGUCUCUGGGACGGUACUGACGCUGGAGAACGGCGAAAGCGUGGGGAGCAAACAGG
rnacentral:rRNA from 1 species